rnacentral:lncRNA from 1 species
GCUCACAAGGUUUCAAGGAAUCAAAAUCAACUACAAGGUAUGUAAUUCUAGCCAUCCUUUUAGGAAAAAGUUCCCCGUGUAUUCUAGAUAGGAUUAUGAACCUUGGAAACCAUAUUUAGGGUUGCAUGUACACUUAGGAAGUGUUAGAAUGCUCAAAACCCAUCAUUGGUAUCAGAGACUAUGCUUGUUUGUGAAUACUUGAUGCAAAAUAGUGUUGAAAAAUUGAUUUUUUUGUUGUCUGCUCAGGGGACUCGACGAGUCCAUGGGGAGGACUCGAAGAGUCCAAGUGAAAAUGCAACCAACUCGGCGAGUCAGUUCGUGUACUCGGCGAGUUGGUCCUGCAGAAUGCAGAAAUUCGAUCUGUGCUGCUGGAAAUGGACUAGAAACAUUACCCUAAACUGUUUUGGUGUUAUAAAACUUGUUUUAGAUUGUGUAAUGGUUGUUCUAAUCCAUUUACAAUGGAUAAUAUCAUUUUUUCGUGAUUAUAUGUGUUCAUAUGUUCUUGAAAUGUUGAUAUGAAUAUUCAUGUUCUUAUAAGUUCUUGAUAGAUCAUAUGAGUUACUUGUUUAUCUGAUUAAUUCAUGAUCUUUAUGUGUUUUAAUGGAGUCCAUAACUUCUCCUCAAGUUAUGGAUAACCAAAAGUCUCUUUGUGUUAAAAGACAUUAAAAGAACACAUAAGUUAUAAAAUGAAGAGUCUUCAUUUUAAUGACUCAUAAGUUAUGAAUUUGAAAGGUUUUGUAAAGUUACAAAACUUGCCCUCAAGUUUUGGAACAUGUAAAGUCACUUAAUAAACUUUAGUUCCAACCCUUAGUUUUUUAAAAGUUAAAAAUCAACCCUUAUAUUUUAUAAUAUUAUAAGUUAAUAAUAUAUAUAUAUAUAUAUAUAUGUGUGUGUGUGUGUGUGUGUGUGUAUAAGAUCAAGUCGUCUUACCGCUAGUACGCCUCAUUCACGAAGUCGACCUAUAAGGGGGGUAUAAGGUUGUUGCCUAUAAAAUGGCAACUUAAUGGGUGUCCACUCUCACCCACCGCUUCCUUGAUCGGUGGAGGGUCGUUAGCCGAACGGGUAGGACAAGGACUUAUAAAUUCUCAUUAAAAGUAUGAUGAAUAUUAUAAAGUAACUAAAUGUUUUAUUAAAUUCCCAAUCUUAGUUACUUUAGGAAAAAUGUGAAUAAGGUGCUAAUCCAUGAAAUUACACUUUACACUUUGUUUAAGUCGUUGGUGGAGCGUGUGUGGUUAACCGGCACACUAACUUGGACUUAACAAGGUAGGUAAAGGGUGACUUAAGGUUUAUCAUAGUAUCGAUGGAGCGUGUGUGGUUUACCGGCACAUCGAUUGAGUGAUAAACUUUAAGGGUACCAAGUGAUUUGCAUGGUUACUUCACACCUCGUUUUGUGAUCCUCGGUAUCCCAGUCACAAAACUUGGAGGGCACACUCGAGAUUGAAACAUGCCUUUGAAAAGUUCAUUGAAUCUCAAAAGAAUCUAGGAAUUUCUAAGAACCAAUUAAAAACCUAAUAUUUAUAUUUCGUUUUUCAUGGUGGAAAUUGGUGAAUCGUCAUUCACCUACCUUUCAAAUAUGUUAUAGCUUGGAUUACGGCAUACCUCUUCUAGGUUAUAAUAUAUUGUGAUUGGAUCCUAGCCUUAAUAUUACAUUUGGGUGUUUUAUUAAGGACUCUCUUAAUAUCUAAACUAAUUGUGUUCUCUUCUUUCAGAUGUUUUCAAACAAUGCUACUUCUGGCUCUAAUCCUAAUGACUCAUCUACCCUUAUGAACUUGUGUGGGAAAGUCACUUUUGAUGGAUCCAACUUCAAUGAAUGGAUCAGAAACAUCAGGAUGAUUACCCGCUACGAGGACAAAGAAUAUGUCCUCGAUAAGGAGCUUAAGGAGAUUGAUGAGACCACUGCAACUCCCCAGGAGAUCGCUGACUUCCGGGCACAUGAAAAGGAUGCUACCAAAGUGGCAUGCAUCAUGUUGGCCACCAUGACAGCGGAACUCCAAAAGUCCUAUGAGGACUUCUACCUUUUUGAAAUGCACCAAGAUCUGAUGGAAAGAUACCAUCAAAGUGCACGACAAGAGAGGUAUAAAAUCAUCUGCUCCAUCAUAACAACCAUUAUGAAGGACGAAGAAUCCGUCACGAGCCACAUGCAAAAAAUGCAAAGGUAUGUGGAUCGUUUGUUGAAGAUUAAUGUGAACUUCCCUGAGGAGCUUGCAAUAGAUAUCAUUUUGCACUCCUUACCAUCGUGCUAUGAUCAAUUCCGCAUGACAUAUCACAUGAAUAAGGAAGAGGUCACACUCAGCAAACUUCAGGGACUUCUCAAGACCGCAGAAACAGGUCUUAAGGGGAAGUCGGUUGUUAACACUCCUACUCCAAACUCUGCCCCUGUCUUGGCAAUCGGGAAAGGUAGAGGAAAUAAGAGGAAUAGCUCUUCGAAGGGUACCAAGGCUAGGACCCUUGAUGGCUCUUCUUCAAGUGGAACCAAGAAAGGUUUCUUCACUCUUUCUGACCCAAAAGAUGCUGAACGCUUCUAUUGUCAUGAAAAGUCACAUUGGAAGCGGAACUGACCAAAGUACCAGCAAGAUGUGAAGGAUGGGAAAGUUAAACCCAACCAUGCAAGUAUUUACACUAUCUUAUCUAAUAACUCACCCCAUUCUAACUCUUGGGUCCUUGAUACCGGUUGCGGUAUUCAUAUCUGUUCUGAUUUGCAGGGACUAAGAAGAAGUGAGAAUGUGGAGCAAGGAAGAAUAAACUUAAUCAUGGGGAAUAGGAAAGCUUUACCUGUCACCAAGAUUGGAGUUUAUACUUUAUCGCUAAGUAGUGGGUUUAGUUUAGAUUUGAAUAAAUGUUGUUAUUCGCCAGAAAUGGCAAGAAAUACUAUUUCCUUUCAUGCAUUGUAUAAACAAGGUUUCACAUUUUCAUUUGAUAAUGAAGUUGGUUCAAUUAAUGCUUUCUUUAAUAAGGUUCUUUAUUUUAAGGCAUUACCUUGUGAGGGUGUGUAUGAAAAUAUAUUGGUGGUUGAUAAAUUAGGAAAUAAUGCAUUGUGUAAUGAUUCUGUUAAUGAUAAUAACUUAGAUAAAGCAUCAUUAUGGCAUUGUCGUCUUGGACAUAUAAGCAAGAAACGCAUAGGCCAACUCCAAAAGGAUGGAGUCUUGGAGUCAUUUGACCUAAAGUCAGAUGAUAGUUGCGAAUCAUGCUUACUUGGAAAAAUGACAAAGUCACCCUUCACAGGUUCUUGUGAGAGGGGUGAAGGUUUGUUGGAUCUUGUACACACGGAUGUGUGUGGACCCUUCAAACAUGCCACAAGGGAUGCUAAUCGUUAUUAUUUGACUUUUACUGAUGAUUACAGUAGAUAUGGAUAUGUCUACUUAAUCAAGCAUAAGUCAGAGACUUUCGAAAGGUUUAAGGAAUUUAAACAGGAAGUCGAGAAUCAAUUGGGCAGGAACAUUAAGAUGCUUCGAUCCGAUCGAGGUGGUGAGUAUCUUAGUUCAGAGUUCCUCGACUAUCUUAGGGAAUGUGGGAUUGUCUCACAAUUGACACCUCCCAGGACACCACAGUUGAAUGGUGUGGCUGAGAGGCGUAAUCGAACCUUGUUGGAUAUGGUUCUUUCCAGGAUGAGUCGAGCUUCGCUACCAAUCUCAUUUUGGGGGUAUGCCUUAGAGACUGCCACCCAUAUCCUUAAUCUAGUCCCUACAAAGAAAGUUGUCAAAACUCCUCAUGAGAUGUGUACUGGUAAAGUACCAAAACUAUACCACAUCAAGAUUUGGGGUUACGAGGCUUUCGUGAGACGUGAGACUCAUGAUAAGCUCGAACCUCGAAGUGAGAGGUGUAUUUUCAUCGGCUACCCACAGAAAUCCUUUGGUUACCUCUUAUACAAACCUAGUGAACAUGUGGUCUUUGUAGCAAGGAGGGCUUUCGUUCGAGAGAGAGAGAGUUCAUAAGCCAAGGAAACAGUGGGAGGCAAGUUGAAAUUGAAGAAAUCAAGAGUCAAGUGGUGAAGGAACUUCAAACCCUAGCACUCAACUUGAGGAGGAAACUCCUGUUAAGCCAAUUGACAAGUCUGUACCUCUGAGGCAUUCCACAAGGGUUAGGAAUGCACCUGAGCAUUACUAUGGAUUCCAUAUUACUGCGGAAGGUGAUACACUUAUCAGUGAUGAGACACUGAUAGGUCUGGAUGAACCUAACAGUUAUGCGGAAGCCAUGACAGGCCCUGAGUCAGCCAAGUGGAAAGAGGCAAUGGACAGCGAGAUACAGUCCAUGUAUGACAAUCAAGUUUGGAACUUGGUUGAGAAUGUACCAGGUCGUAAGACUGUAGGGUGCAAAUGGAUCUUCAAGAAGAAGACCGACAUGGAUGGUAAGGUACACACUUAUAAGGCACGACUGGUUGCAAAGGGUUUCUCACAAACUCCGGGAGUUGAUUAUGAUGAGACCUUUUCUCCAGUGGCCAAGAUUAAGUCUAUUAGGGUUCUGUUAGCCAUAGCUGCAUUUCAUGACUAUGAAAUAUGGCAAAUGGAUGUCAAAACCGCUUUCCUUAAUGGAAAGUUGGCUGAGGAUGUUUACAUGAGUCAGCCAGAGGGUUUUGUCAAUACAGAGUACCCUAAUAGAGUGUGUAAGCUUGAGAAAUCCAUUUAUGGAUUAAAGCAAGCACCUCGCAGAUGGAAUCUUUGCUUUGAUGAGAAAGUCAAGGAAUUUGGCUUUUCUAGGAGUGAAGAUGAAUCUUGUGUAUAUGUCAAGGCUAGUGGGAGUAUAGUUAGCUUUUUGGUAUUGUAUGUGGAUGACAUACUACUCAUAGGAAAUGACAUCCCAACUCUGCAGGAAGUUAAGUCCUGGCUUGGGAAGUGUUUCUCUAUGAAGGACCUAGGAGAAGCUGCCUAUAUUCUAGGGAUAAGGAUCUUGAGAGAUCGGAGUAAAAGACUAAUUGGACUUAGUCAGAGUACCUACUUGGAUAAGGUGCUGAAGAGAUUCAGCAUGCAGGACUCCAAGAAAGGAGAGUUACCCAUCCAGAGUAACGCCAGAUUGAGUAAGACACAAAGCCCUAGUACUGAGGCUGAGAUAGCAGAAAUGAGUCGAAUACCUUAUGCUUCGGCUGUAGCAUCAAUCAUGUAUGCUAUGACGUCUACUCGACCAGAUGUAGCCUUUGCUUUAAGCAUGGUUAGCAGGUAUCAAGGGAACCCUGGCAAGGCACACUGGACUACGGUUAAGAAUAUCCUCAAGUACCUACAGAAGACUAAGGACUGGGUCCUUAACCUCGGUGGGAGUGAUGACUUGAGAGUUGUAGGGUAUAGUGAUGCUAGCUUUCAGACUGAUAGGGAUAAUUUCCGCUCUCAGUCAGGUCGGGUCUUUACCUUAAACAGGGGAGCAAUUUCUUGGAAGAGUUCCAAGUAAGAGACAGUGGCUGAUUCCACUUGUGAAUCAGAGUAUAUAGAAGUGAACGAGGCAGCAAAGGAGGCGAUAUGGCUGAAGAACUUCAUUGGAGACCUUGGAGUUGUACCAGCUAUAAAGGAGCCAAUGGAAAUUUUCUGUGAUAGUGAAAGUGCAGUUGCCUUAUCCAAGGAACCAAGAGAUCACAGGAGAUCCAUACACAUCGACAGAAAAUACCAUUUCAUUAGACAUCGAAUAGAAGAAGGACUCCUCGUGGCAAAGAGGGUAUCAUCGGAUGAGAAUCCAGCAUAUCCCCUCACGAAGGGACUGACUCGAGUUAAGCAUCUCCAGCAUGCUCGGAGCAUAGGGCUGAAGGAUGAUAUAAGAUUUAGUAGUUAGAUAAUCUCAAAAUUUGUAAAGUGUAAUUGACAUUAGAUGAUGAAUAAAAGGUGUGUUUAUUUAUGAGUAAUGUGUUGCUAUCUCUUGUCAAUCGUUUACUAUAUUUCUUUUGCAUGUUUUGACUUCCAGCAUAAUGAUGUUUGGUAUAUCAUAUUAUUCGAACCUCCACAGUCGGUCAUAUGUCGGAAGUAGGUAUGAAUCAAGACUGUCAUGAUUGGUUGCAGAGGUCUAAGGUGUUGGACAUGGCUACAACACUCAUGAGUGCUCAUAAGUUCUGAGCAUUGGACUCAACCCACACUCACUGGAAUCACUUCAUGGAAUUUAUCUCGAGUGAUCGUGAGACGGUAACAUCAUAUAAGUCUUCAAACCUAGAGAUAUGAUUUGUUGCCUAUGAGUUGGUUAUGCAUUGAUUGUACGAAAACGCAUUGGUAACUCGAUGUUAUAAAACGUGCUUUUGUGUAUAAUUCAAUAAGUAGUAGAUUAAACAUAUGAGUCGAAGUUUAUAUGUUCCUUCUUGGAUUAAAAGCUGAUAUUUGGGCCCCUCGAUGAUUUUUUUGACCUAUGUACCGGGCCCGGUCAGAACUAAGUUGAUGUGUUCAAUUAAAUUCUUUGUCAAACAAAUCGGAAAUCGGGAAACAAACUGCUGGACAAUAAGUAAGACAUUGUUCCAUGUAUUUGUCCGGCUGAUAUCUAGAACAGAGGAUUAUAUGAUCACUUAUCUUAAAUGGAGUAUCAUCAUCUUCUCAGUUCCGAGAGACCUUGAAAGAGCUACGAUUGCUGAUCGGUUCCUGAAGUCAUGCUUGCAAUUAUAGUUAUUAGACUUAUCCAAGUGGGAGACUGUUGGAUAAGAUGUCUAAGUCCAUAACUAUUUCUGGUAUGUACUGGACCUGACCCGGCAUGGUCCAUUUGGGUUGCAUGGCAUCAUGCAUUUGGAUAGACUAAAUGAGAGUAAAUAACACUUGUGGUUUAUUAUUAUAUUAUAAGUUCUAAUAUAUUAAUAGUAUUAUUUAAUUAGUAUUGAUCAAGAAUUAAUUUGGAAUUAAUUAAGUGAUCAAAAGACAACUAAUUAAAUAUAUGGGUUGAUUAUGUAAAUCAUCUAUAACUUGUAUAGUGGGCUAAGAGGAUCCAUGGAUUAUCAAGUUGGGUUAAACCCAUAGGAUGCUCUAUGGAUGCUCCAUGGGAGUUACAAACCCAUGGGUCAUGGAAAUGAAGAGCCAUGACACGUUAGGGUUUACAUGGUGUAACCUUAGAUGUGUCACACUAUAUAAGAAACAUACUAUCCACCAAAAUCGGCUACACAAAGAGAAGUGAGGGCUAGGCCGAUUUUUAGAGUGUUUGUGUUCUCUCAAAAGUCAUUCCAAAAGAAUUUGGUGUUGUGUGAAGCAUUUGAGGCAUCACACGGUUUCAAGGAAUCAAAAUCAACUACAAGGUAUGUAAUUCUAGCCAUCCUUUUUGGAAAAAGUUCCCCAUGUAUGCUAGAUAGGAUUAUGAACCUUGGAAACCAUAUUUUGCAUGUAUUUAGACAAACAUAGAUCCAAGGUUUAUUAGGGUUGCAUGUACACUUAGGAAGUGUUAGAAUGCUCAAAACCCAUCAAAGUGUUCC